rnacentral:misc_RNA from 1 species
AGAAAAGCUAAUCGGUGAGUGUUUCUUAUUAAAGUACACAUAAGAAAAUUUCAAUUAAUUUAUUAGCAAUGUCUUUGUCAGGCUUAGUUUUGAAAAAUAUCUAUAAAAAAUCGAAUGCAAGUGUGAGGCAUUUGAGUAAUAAUGUGCAGAAACAGGGCUGGUGCUCUGAACUUGUACGUCGUUUUUCUACAGAGUCUGAGAAACAACAAGUAGAUGGCAGUGGAAAAUCGGAGAAACAAGAAGUAGCUGUUUCCGAUAGUGGCAAACAAUCGAAGCUAUUUCAAAGAAGACGCCGCCGUGGUAAUCUUUGGAGACGCAAUGAAUACGACUUUGCACCUGCUCUUUUCGAAAACUUACCAACGGGACUUGGCAAUGCAUUAUUGCAAGCCACAGAGAACAUCAACAAGAUAUUUGAUAAUUUCAACUUGAAUCCCUCACAAUUACUGGGAAGGUACAAAGAGGAUGAUAAGAAUUACAAAAUCCGUUACGACUUGCCAGGACUCGGCAAGAAGGACGUGAAGAUCAUGGUUGAGGAUGGAAUUUUGACAAUAAAAGGUGAACACAAACAAGAGAAGGAAGAAGAAGGAUCAGAUGAUGAGUUUUGGUCAUCAACAAGUUAUGGUUACUAUAAUAAUAGCAUUGUGUUGCCUCAAGAUGCUAAGGUUGAUGAAAUUAAAGCUGAGAUGAAAGAUGGUGUUUUGACAAUUACUAUUCCUAAAAGUGACAAACCUAAGAAAGAUGUUCAGGAAAUUGAAGUUAUGUGAGGUUUUUCUUUGGUAGUAUUACCUCUGACAUGUUUGUGAGUGUCUUCAUAAUAAUAAUUUAAGUUUUCUUCAGUUUCAAGAGGGUGUGACAAGAAUGGCUUUGCUUUAUUCGAAAAAAUUGGCCAUAAUUUUGGCCAAGAAUUGUUUCAAAAUAAAAUCUAUCGUUUUGUUAUUUUA